rnacentral:rRNA from 1 species
UAAGGAAUAUUGCGCAAUGGGCGAAAGCCUGAUCCAGCCAUGCCGCGUGCAGGAUGAAGGCCUUCGGGUUGUAAACUGCUUUUUGUACGGAACGAAACGGUCUUUUCUAAUAAAGAAGGCUAAUGACGGUACCGUAAGAAUAAGCACCGGCUAACUACGUGCCAGCAGCCGCGGUAAUACGUAGGGUGCAAGCGUUAAUCGGAAUUACUGGGCGUAAAGCGUGCGCAGGCGGUUAUAUAAGACAGAUGUGAAAUCCCCGGGCUCAACCUGGGAACUGCAUUUGUGACUGUAUAGCUAGAGUACGGUAGAGGGGGAUGGAAUUCCGCGUGUAGCAGUGAAAUGCGUAGAUAUGCGGAGGAACACCGAUGGCGAAGGCAAUCCCCUGGACCUGUACUGACGCUCAUGCACGAAAGCGUGGGGAGCAAACAGGAUUAGAUACCCAAGUAGUCCCUGAGCGGGCUGGCAAGGCGCAU